rnacentral:rRNA from 1 species
UGCAAGUCGGACGGGUUCCGAUGAAGUAGCAAUACUUCAUCGGGAUUAGUGGCGGACGGGUGAGUAACACGUAGGUAACCAACCUUUGGGGGGGGGACAACUCCGAGAAAUCGGAGCUAAUACCGCAUAAGACCACAGGCUGAAAGGCCGGUGGGAAAAGUGGCAACACACCCAGAGACGGGCCUGCGGCCUAUCAGGUAGUUGGUGAGGUAACGGCUCACCAAGCCAGAGACGGGUAGCCGGGCUGAGAGGUUGAACGGCCACACUGGAACUGAGAUACGGUCCAGACUCCUACGGGAGGCAGCAGUGGGGAAUCUUGCGCAAUGGGGGAAACCCUGACGCAGCGACGCCGCGUGGAGGAUGAAGGUCUUCGGGUUGUAAACUCCUUUUGUAGGGGAAAAUAGUGAUGGUACCCUACGAAUAAGCCACGGCUAACUCUGUGCCAGCAGCCGCGGUAAGACAGAGGUGGCGAGCGUUGUUCGGAAUUACUGGGCUUAAAGGGCGAGUAGGCGGUAGGGCAAGUCCAAGGUGGAAUCCUAUGGCUUAACCAUAGAAUUGCCUUGGAAACUGUUUUACUUGAGUCAGUGAGGGGAGGGUAGAAUUCCUGGUGUAGCGGUGAAAUGCGUAGAUAUCAGGAGGAAGGCCUGUGGCGAAGGCGGCCCUCUGGCACUGGACUGACGCUGAGGCGCGAAAGCGUGGGUAGCAAACAGGAUUAGAUACCCUGGUAGUCCACGCCCUAAACGGUGGGCAUUAGGUGUAGGGCUCGUUAGGGUUCUGUGCCGAAGGGAAACCAUUAAAUGCCCCGCCUGGGGAAUACGGCCGCAAGGUGAAACUCAAAGGAAUUGACGGGGCCCGCACAAGCGGUGGAGCAUGUGGUUUAAUUCGACGCUACGCGAAGAACCUUACCUGGGCUUGACAUGUUAGUGGUAAGAA